rnacentral:misc_RNA from 1 species
AAGUCGUAACAAGGUUUUCGUAGGUGAACCUGCGGAAGGAUCAUUAGUGAAUUCUUGGGAGUCCCUCUUAACCGGAGAAGGCCCGAUCCACUAUUUACAAACCCUAGUGCAUUUGUCCCCUUUACAUUUAACCCUUGUGCAUUACAAAAGGUUAUUGUUGUCAAUCUUGAUAAUUGAAAAAAAACUUUCAGCAAUGGAUCUCUUGGCUCUC